AUUGAACGCUAGCGGGAUGCUUUACACAUGCAAGUCGAACGGCAGCGCGGACUUCGGUCUGGCGGCGAGUGGCGAACGGGUGAGUAAUGUAUCGGAACGUGCCCAGUAGCGGGGGAUAACUACGCGAAAGCGUAGCUAAUACCGCAUACGCCCUACGGGGGAAAGGAGGGGAUCGUAAGACCUUGCACUAUUGGAGGGGCCGAUGACGGAUUCGCUAGUUGGUGAGGUAACGGCUCACCAAGGCGACGAUCCGUAGCUGGUUUGAGAGGACGACCAGCCACACUGGAACUGAGACACGGCCCAGACUCCUACGGGAGGCAGCAGUGGGGAAUUUUGGACAAUGGGCGCAACCCUGAUCCAGCCAUCCCGCGUGUGCGAUGAAGGCCUUCGGGUUGUAAAGCACUUUUGGCAGGAAAGAAACGUAGCGGGCUAAUACCCCGUUGAACUGACGGUACCUGCAGAAUAAGCACCGGCUAACUACGUG
rnacentral:rRNA from 1 species